GACGAACGCUGGCGGCGUGCUUAACACAUGCAAGUCGAACGAUGAAGCUGGAGCUUGCUCCGGUGGAUUAGUGGCGAACGGGUGAGUAACACGUGAGCAAUCUGCCCUUGACUCUGGGAUAACUGCGGGAGACUGUAGCUAAUACCGGAUACGAGAUUUGGAGACAUCUCCGGAUCUGGAAAGAAUUUCGGUCAAGGAUGAGCUCGCGGCCUAUCAGCUUGUUGGUGAGGUAAUGGCUCACCAAGGCGACGACGGGUAGCCGGCCUGAGAGGGUGACCGGCCACACUGGGACUGAGACACGGCCCAGACUCCUAUGGGAGGCAGCAGUGGGGAAUAUUGCACAAUGGGCGAAAGCCUGAUGCAGCAACGCCGCGUGAGGGAUGAAGGCCUUCGGGUUGUAAACCUCUUUUAGUAGGGAAGAAGCGAAAGUGACGGUACCUACAGAAAAAGCACCGGCUAACUACGUGCCAGCCGCCGCAGUAA
rnacentral:rRNA from 1 species